GCAGCUCAAUGUGAGAGCAUCUGCCUUAAAUCCAGAAGGUUCCAGGUUCAAUCCUGGCUUCUCCA